rnacentral:rRNA from 1 species
GGCGGACGGGUGAGUAACGCGUGGGAACGUGCCCUUCUCUAUGGAAUAGCCACUGGAAACGGUGAGUAAUACCAUAUACGCCCUUCGGGGGAAAGAUUUAUCGGAGAAGGAUCGGCCCGCGUUAGAUUAGGUAGUUGGUGGGGUAAUGGCCUACCAAGCCUACGAUCUAUAGCUGGUUUUAGAGGAUGAUCAGCCACACUGGGACUGAGACACGGCCCAGACUCCUACGGGAGGCAGCAGUGGGGAAUCUUAGACAAUGGGCGCAAGCCUGAUCUAGCCAUGCCGCGUGAGUGAUGAAGGCCUUAGGGUCGUAAAGCUCUUUCGCCAGAGAUGAUAAUGACAGUAUCUGGUAAAGAAACCCCGGCUAACUCCGUGCCAGCAGCCGCGGUAAUACGGAGGGGGUUAGCGUUGUUCGGAAUUACUGGGCGUAAAGCGCACGUAGGCGGAGUAGAAAGUUAGGGGUGAAAUCCCGGGGCUCAACCUCGGAACUGCCUCUAAAACUCCUAGUCUAGAGUUCGAGAGAGGUGAGUGGAAUUCCAAGUGUAGAGGUGAAAUUCGUAGAUAUUUGGAGGAACACCAGUGGCGAAGGCGGCUCACUGGCUCGAUACUGACGCUGAGGUGCGAAAGUGUGGGGAGCAAACAGGAUUAGAUACCCUGGUAGUCCACACCGU